AUGUCAACUUUACCUUUGGGCGACGAGCCAACAAACAUUGUAUGCCCGCGGUGCGGGCAGUCCGUAUUGACGAAAUUGAACUAUAAAGCAACUACCCGGACCCAUAUAAUAGCUUUGAUUUUAUGUCUGAUGGGAUGUUGGUUUUGUGCUCCUGUGUUAUACUGCACUAGAUGUGCGCGAAAUAUUGAACAUUAUUGUCCGAAUUGUAACGCAUUCCUUGGAAUUUACGACCAUUAGACUAUUGUUUCCCUUAUUUCAUCUCUUAACUACAUUUGCCUUAUAUUAAGUUUGUGUCAAUAGUAAAUCAUUUCCAGUGGUGUCGGACAUAUGAACUAUCAUCCUCUCUC